ACCGCCUUGGUCCCCAACCUACUAUUACCCCCCUAUUAAAAUCAUACAUGCAAGCCUCCACACCCCAGUGCCAACGCCCAUGCGGAGCAGGUAUCAGGUACACUUCUGAAGUAGCCAAAGACGCCUAGCCCAGCCACACCCCCACGGGACUCAGCAGUAGUUAACAUUAAGCAAUAAGCGCCCAACCCUCGCCCCUUACCAAGCUUGACUUAGUUAUAAUCUCACCAGGGUCGGUAAAUUUCGUGCCAGCCACCGCGGUUAUACGAAAGACCCCUGAUAAUAGUAAUUCGGCGUAAAGCGUGACUAGAACAACACCCAAAUAAGAAACCUAAACACCUGCCAAGUUAUAAAACACACCCGACACCCUUGAAAACCCUAAACGUUUCACAAAUCGGCACCCUUUGACUCACGAAAACCAAGAUACAAACUAGGAUUAGAUACCCUACUAUGCUUGGCCGUAACCCUAGACACAACCACCACUACCAAUGUCCGCCAGAGAACUACUAGCGAAAAGCUAAAAACUCAAAAGACUUGACGGUGUCCCAUAUCACCCUAGAGGAGCCUGUCCAAUAAUCGAUGCCCCACGAACAACCUUACCCACCCUAGCCACUUCACUAUUUUACCAGCCUAUAUACCGCCGUCGCCAGCUUACCUUUCAAAAGACCACAAGUAAGCGCAAGGGUCCCCCCCCCCAAUACGUCAGGUCAAGGUGUAGCUCAUGGGUGGGACUGAGAUGAGCUACAUUUUCUAAAAAGAAAACACCAACCCUGCUCUGAACAAAACAGAUUAAAGGUGGAUUUAGAAGUAAGCCAGGUCAGACAGCCUGACUGAAAACCGCCCUGGGACGCGUACACACCGCCCGUCACCCUCCUCAGCCCCCAACUAACCUUAACAUAUAACCACCCCCCCGCACAGAUGAGGUAAGUCGUAACAUGGUAAGCGCACCGGAAGGUGUGCUUGGACU
rnacentral:ncRNA from 1 species